rnacentral:rRNA from 1 species
CACGGCGGGUGCUAACGUCCGUCGUGAAGAGGGAAACAACCCAGACCGCCAGCUAAGGUCCCAAAGUCAUGGUUAAGUGGGAAACGAUGUGGGAAGGCCCAGACAGCCAGGAUGUUGGCUUAGAAGCAGCCAUCAUUUAAAGAAAGCGUAAUAGCUCACUGGUCGAGUCGGCCUGCGCGGAAGAUGUAACGGGGCUAAACCAUGCACCGAAGCUGCGGCAGCGACACUCAGGUGUUGUUGGGUA